GCACCUAUGGCCCAGUGGUAAGGCGUCGCUCUCCUAACUACCCUUUCUUUCAAAGAAACGGCUUUGGUUAAGCGAAGAUCCGGGGUUCGAACCCCCGUAGGUGUG
rnacentral:tRNA from 1 species